ACGGCUACAUCACAUUGAAACACCUGUUCCUGUGCUAUCACCGAAGUUAAGCAACGUCGAAUCGGGUCAGUACUUUGAUAGACGACUGCUUGGGAAUGUCAUGUGCUGG